rnacentral:lncRNA from 1 species
CUCUCUCUAUAGUAUUUCCUAUUUAUACAUACUCUUCAUCUAAUCUAAUACAGCUGUCAUAUUAACCAACUAACUUCAACAACUUCCAGCUUGUUGCUUCUGUUAAUCAGCUUCGUGCCCUUCUUGCAUUUGUUUGUAGUUAAUGACUGAUUAGCCCUUCAUAUGCCACUGCUCACAACAAUCGGCUUCAAAGAAACCUUGGCCAAAGCUGGUGCACGGCUCCUUUGGGAAUGCUAGUGUGGAUGAUAAAUCCUUUGGCUCCUUAAGAACUUGUUUCAAAUUAGCUAUAUCAGGUUUAAAGGAUAUCGGUUUUGAUCUUCCUCAUCAACUCAGCUCCUCCGAUGGCUAGGGUAAUGAGGUGCUGAGUCCUUUUAUUCCAACUAAUCCUCUGAAGUUGGCGAGUGUUUCUCACUCUGUUGCACCUGAAAAUCUGUUGUAUAUGUCGAGUGGAUCUGCUAGUGUGGUUCCUG